GAGUGCGGGCCAGUUAGUUGCUGGGGCUUAUUGUGAGCGGAAAAGAGGAAUCGAGGUUGAUCCUGCUAAAAAAAAAAAAAAAGAAAAAGAAAAAAAUAGAAAGAAAAACAAGAAGUGCCUGAACCGAGAACAAAAAAAGAGGUUCGUGGUCUAUUAGGUAGAUUGAACUACAUGUCAUGGUUCACAUCUCCUCUAACAGCCACGUGUGAAUC
rnacentral:lncRNA from 1 species